GUAGUCCUUGCUGUAAACGAUGUAUACUUGGUGUAACUGGACUCAACCCCAGUUGUGCCGUAGCUAACGCGUUAAGUAUACCGCCUGGGGAGUACAGUCGCAAGGCUGAAACUCAAAAGAAUUGACGGGGACCCGCACAAGCAGUGGAGCAUGUGGUUUAAUUCGAUGCAACGCGAAGAACCUUACCCAGACUUGACAUGUAGUAGACCGGUCUAGAAAUAGACCUUUCCUUCGGGACUGCUGCACAGGUGCUGCAUGGCUGUCGUCAGCUCGUGCCGUGAGGUGUUGGGUUAAGUCCCGCAACGAGCGCAACCCUUAUCAUUAGUUGCCAGCAUUUCGGAUGGGAACUC
rnacentral:rRNA from 1 species